UCCGCGCGCGUUAUUCAUUUCGGCCGGAACGGCUUCUCUCGAAUGCGCACCGUCCCGCGGCGACCCGCUUCUAAUGGCCGCUGGUGACUGCGAUUCUCGAAGUCGCGCGAUAUCGAUAUUCUCGAAUCGACGCACACAAGCGCUCGAGGUAUCGAUCCUGAUCGCCGUGGUGGAAUUAUUUAUCGAAGACAUUGUUUGUAGCUGGACUAAGUUGCACUUUCCGCCUUUGGAGCGAAACGACUGUAUAACUGAGCGCUAAAAAAAAAGGCGGGUGAAGGCGUGGGGAGUUCCUGAGACAUACGAAAGUUCUACGCGAGCACACGCAGAUCUCCGUUUCCAAUUAAGUACAUAUGCCAAAGGUAUAUGCAUAUAUAGGAUUGGCUACUUUCCAGUUAGAUCAAUGCAUUGCACAUGCGCAGUAAAUGAACUUUAUGAAUGUUCUAAGAACAUUCUUUUCUACGAUGAAUAUAUUCAUUAAGCGAGAAAUCAUUAACACAACGUCAUUACAAUGACAUUUUAUGACA